rnacentral:rRNA from 1 species
GUUACUCCGGGGAUAACAGAGUUGUCGCGCCCGAGAGCUCAAAUCGACGGCGCGGCUUGCUACAUCGAUGUCGGCUCAUCCUAUCCUAGCUGUGCAGAAGUAUUUGUUGCUGGCAACAAAUGCCCAGUAACUUGUUACUGUAUGCAGCUAAGGGUGGGGGUGUUCACCCAUUAAAAGGAUUCGUGAGCUGGGUUCAGAACGCUGUGAGGCAGUUUGUUUGAUAUCUACUGGAAGUGUUAGUGUCUGAGAGGAAGGACCGCUUAGUACGAGAGGAACAGUGGUUCGGCGCCUCUGGUCGACCAGUUACCUGGCAAGGUAGGCUGGGCAGCUACGCGCCAAGGGAUAAGUGCUGAAAGCAUCUAAGCACGAAACCCGCCUCGAAAAGAGACAUAGAACUCCCAUAGAAGAUGGGUUUGAUAGAACAGAGGUGUAAGUGUCAAGGCAACGAGACAUUAAGCCUGCUGUUACUAAU